ACCAAGGAGUAUAGAAACAAUGAUUGAAAAAGGCCAUUGUCUAUCCUAGCAUAUACUCCUCCCACACCCACGGCCCCAGUCCCCAGCCCAACCUCUCCUAAGUCUUGUCCCUUUACCAUCUUUUUUUUUCCUUUUUGAUGUUGAAACAAGCAAGGCUGCUAGUAUAUAUUAACAUGCUAGGGUUAGGUUUAUAUUCAGAAGACUAAGCUUUAUUUUCUAGCUCUCGAUCCUUUCAAAGUAAAGAAUCCCGUAGAAGGACUCAAUCUAAAAUCAGUAUCCUUAUCUAUAUAAGUCAAAAUUCAAAUAGGGUUUUUUCAGAAUGAUGAAAAAAAGGCAAGUGGUUGUGAGAACAGACGGAUCCAGAAGGAACAUCGGAGGUUCCUCGACUAGGAACAUACGAUACGUUGAGUGCCAAAGGAACCAUGCGGCGAAUAUCGGAGGCUACGCCGUAGACGGCUGCCGUGAAUUCAUGGCGAGCGGAGAGGAUGGGACGACCGCCGCUCUUACAUGCGCUGCUUGCGGCUGCCACCGGAAUUUCCACAGGAGAGAAGUCGAUGGCGGCGAAGUUGUUUCUGAGUGUUGAUGAUUUAUUAUGAUGAUCAUGUUUCGUCCAAGAUUAUAUGAAAAAAGGAAAGGAGGAAAUUUCAUCUCUAUCACUUCCAUGGUGUGCAAGACAGAUAAUAUGUCUCCUUUAUGAAGCUGCAACAGAUAGUUUCCAGUUCAGCCAGGCAUUAUAAUAGAGUGAGUUUUUGGUGCUUUUGGUACUCCAAGGAACCAAAAGACAGAUAAGUAAAAUAAUAAUCCAAUCCUUAGCUCAUAUUCUAUUCCUCCAUUAAACUCUCUGGCAGACAAUUGGAGGAACACAAUUUUUUA